rnacentral:rRNA from 1 species
AGCGAACGCUGGCGGCAGGCUUAACACAUGCAAGUCGAGCGGGCGUAGCAAAGUACGUCAGCGGCAGACGGGUGAGUAACGCGUGGGAACGUACCUUUUGGUUCGGAACAACACAGGAAAAACUUGUGCUAAUACCGGAUAAGCCCUUACGGGGAAAGAUUUAUCGCCGAAAGAUCGGCCCGCGUCUGAUUAGCUAGUUGGUAGGGUAAUGGCCUACCAAGGCGACGAUCGGUAGCCGGACUGAGAGGUUGAACGGCCACAUUGGGGACUGAGACACGGCCCAG